rnacentral:lncRNA from 1 species
AAUAGUUUUUUUUUUUUAUACUCAGAUGCAUCUAUGCUGUCUUGCUUACAGAUGAUUUUAUGAUAAUGUGUAUCUAUUGUUGCUGCUUCAGUGCUGAUGAAUCUGAGUCAGGAGUGGUGAAGUUAGGUAGCUAAUGACUGCUAACCAUCUGGUGAGUCCAACUAUCUAGACCGACUCAUGAUGGCAAAUUUAGAGUCUCCCUGGGUCACGUCUUCAUGCAGAUGCUGCACAGACCAAGGCCUCUCUGCUUGAUGACCUUUUGAAAACUAUACUAGUUCAUGGCAGUGUUACAGUCCCAGAGAGAAUUCUGUCAUUGUGUGCCUGUGAAGACCACUUUAAAAAAAAAACAAAAAACAAAAAACAAACAAACACUUAUCUCCGAUUAUUUUCUUCAUUGGUUCACUAUGUAAAAAGCCAUGGUAACCUGAGCAGAAUCCUGUCUUGGAAUCCCUUUGGUUUCAGGAGUUAUUCUUCGCCUUUAUUUGUUGUUACAUGGUGGUUGAAGUGCCCUACUCUGUUGGAGUUCACUUUUCUUUGUGUGAGCAGGAUUCUGAGAUCAUGGUACCUUACAGGCAAUGUAGCUUGCUGCCUGUUGCUCCUAACAAUCUACUCUCUGUUAAUAACGUGUCGUUAAUAUCACUUGGUCCAUGAAAAAUUAGUAGUCUAAGCAAGCUUCAAUACUGUAACACAAAUGGAGAUGAGUUUUAUUUUGCAGGAGGAACACGUGUAUGAUGUAUGAGCAAUAGGAAGGGAAAAGGGCUAUCCAAGUCUUCAAUAGGCAGACACAGGGGGAUCUCAAUAAUAUAUUUUAGAAAUAUCUGAAAAAUGAUAAGUCCAUAGAAUUGCUGAUCUCUAUCUCGAUAUCCUCGAUGAAAUUUAUGUAAAAAAAUAGUUAUCAAAGGACAGUCAAAUCUAAUAUUUGAGAAUAUAUAGUUGUAUUGAACAAUGUGUACCAUGAAACUCACACCUUGGCUUUCUUUGAAAAUGGUCAAUAGUAACUGUAGGUUUCCAUAUUUUAGUAAAGUAACAUCCCUCUUAUUGUUAUCUAUACUUUUUGUAAAACCACAUUUAUUUUUAAAUGUUCUACAACUCUAUGUAAGGUGAUUUUUUUAAAUAAAUAAAACAUCUGUGU